UCGUUUUCACCUUAUUGCUCAAAUUUAAACUCAAAAUCAAGAUUGAGGAGAUAAUCAAUUAAAUUGUCUCACAUUCUUUUUCUAAAUCUGUUGUUUUUCGAUUCAAUAUCUAAUCUAAUCAAUCUUGUGCUUCCUUCGAUUACAGAUUUUGUUGUGGCGAGAGGAUGAACAAUCAUAGUAGAAGCAACAGGAACACAGGCACUGGUCCACCCACUCAAUCGGUCCUUAAUAGUAUGUUGAAGCCUUGAGAUUCUUCUUUCAUGACUAUGUUGGUUCAUAACUUAUGCCUUAAAAGUGGACCCAACCUAGGUUCUAAAGCAUCAAAGAUUCGUAUUCUAUGUGAUUUUAAACAGCCUGACCCCGCCUGGUAAGCACAGCAUUUGGGUGAGGGGUCGGGUUGGGUGAGGCCAAAGCACUACUUUGUUGUUGUUGUUGUUGUUGUUGUUUUUACAAAAUUAACAUAAUAAUUAGGAUGGUUCGAUAUGUGUGGGGGGGGGUCAAUGAGGGUGCUGGCGCUGAUGAAAGAUCUAUCUUAGUGAGGACAAUGGUAGAAAGCAAAGCAAGCAAAAAUGUGCUUCGCGAAUUUUACCUACUUGGUAAGAUGCUAAUUUACGUGCCACUGAAUUCGCUGACGACAACGUAGUUGCGACACCUGGCAUUCAAAUGGUUGAAGUGACUGCACCUGCAUCAACUAAAAUUACACUGAAGUUGUUGCAGCAAUUUCUUUAUUUUGUGAACAUCUUGCAGCGUUAAUACGAACAACGAAGGUUAUCAAAGGAACAAAUGAAGAACUACAAAAACCUUCAGAAGAUGGAAAUGCUUUGGUCUAUCCUUUUGCGGUUGUAAUGAACAAGGAGUUUGAUCGUCACGUUCGACUUUAUAGCAAAGGUUUUGCUAAAAGAUGAUGAAAAUAUGGAUGGUGGUGAGGAAGCAUACACGAUUCUAGGUGGGAUUUUAUCAUGGCGGAGAGGAACCAUACAUGAUGGUUACAUUCGACUUAUAUCAUUGAAACACCAAAGCGCCAACCAGCAAAAUUUGAAGCUAUGAUGUAGAGUAUUAUUGAAAAGCUAUUUGUUGACUAGUUUAGGAUCUUAGAUGCCAAUGAGGUUUUCGUUACCUUUUAUCAUUGUAAUU
rnacentral:lncRNA from 1 species